rnacentral:rRNA from 1 species
GUAGGUGGCAAGCGUUGUCCGGAAUUAUUGGGGCGUAAAGCGCGCGCAGGCGGUCCUUUAAGUCUGAUGUGAAAGCCCACGGGCUCAACCGUGAGGGUCAUUGGAAACUGGGGGACUUGAGUACAGAAGAGGAAAGCGGAAUUCCAAGUGUAGCGGUGAAAUGCGUAGAGAUUUGGAGGAACACCAGUGGCGAAGGCGGCUUUCUGGUCUGUAACUGACGCUGAGGCGCGAAAGCGUGGGGAGCAAACAGGAUUAGAUACCCUGGUAGUCCACGCCGUAAACGAUGAGUGCUAAGUGUUAGGGGGUUUCCGCCCCUUAGUGCUGCAGCUAACGCAUUAAGCACUCCGCCUGGGGAGUACGGCCGCAAAGGCUGA